CACCUUGAUGCAAGCUAGUAGCUGAAGUUUAGCAGAGGAGAGCGAGGCACGGCAAUCUCAUCUAUCACUUCAUCAGUGCGUGCCCCACCAUUACUUUCACGCGCUUGUAUCCAAUUGCCUCAUCUGGCUCCAACACGAUGUGCUCCCAGAGAUUUCUCCUGAGGGGCGGUGAUGAGGCUUGGCACUUGGCAGCGCACGACAAGAUGUUUGCCUGAGCCUGUGAUACUGCCACACCACACGGCCGGUGCCGUGCCUGGAAACUGUUUGCAAAGAGAAAAGGAA
rnacentral:lncRNA from 1 species